rnacentral:rRNA from 1 species
GACGAACGCUGGCGGCGUGCUUAACACAUGCAAGUCGAACGAAGUGGCGAACGGGUGAGUAACGCGUAAUCAACCUGCCCUUCAGAGGGGGACAACAGUUGGAAACGACUGCUAAUACCGCAUACUGAAGGAGGAGAUUGCGUCUGAUUAGCUAGUUGGAGGGGUAACGGCCCACCAAGGCGAUGAUCAGUCGCCGGCCUGAUGGGGUGAACGGCAACAAUGGGACUGGGACCAGGCCCAGAAUCCUAAGGGAGGCCGCCGUGGGGAAUCUUCCGCAAUGGACGAAAGUCUGACGGAGCAACGCCGCGUGAGUGAUGGCGGCCUUCCGGUUGUAAAGCUCUUUUAAUCGGGACGCGGUACCGGAAUAGAAAGCCACGGCUAACUACGUGCCAGCAGCCGCGGUAAUUC